rnacentral:tRNA from 4 species
GCGGGCGUGGCGGAACGGUAGACGCGCGGGACUUAGGAUCCCGUGGGCUGUAUCCCGUGGGGGUUCGAAUCCCUCCGCCCGCACCA